rnacentral:misc_RNA from 1 species
GGAGUUGUACUGAUUGACCUCUACAUUUGCCACUUAAAACCAGAGCUACUCAUGGCUGGCCCUAGGUGGACAAUAGAAACAUAUUCCAAGUAUAUAAUAGUGAUUUGAAGGUUCCUUUUAUUAGUUUUAAUAAUAAGAACUUUGUCAGUAUUUGCAUCACCACGUAGCAUUCUGCAUUUUUGUUGAAUGUAUCAUUCUCCACUCUAGUUUAUACAUUCAUUGACGAUAAGUUAAGUUGAGCUUCUAUCUUU